rnacentral:lncRNA from 1 species
AGUCUUAGAAGUGCUGUAAUCUGAAAGAAAAAAAUGAAACUUUCCACUUCAUCACUCUGGUAUAUUAUUAUUUUUAAAAAGAUGCAAGUUGUCAUAUGAAAAUGGAGGCAUUAAUUCCUUAACCUAUUCCAAAACUUUAGCUCAUAUUUGCCAAGAAAACAGAAUGCGAAUGGGAAGCCGUGUUUCUGCUUGAGGCAGUAGGAAGCAGGAGACCAAAAAGUCGUCUUAAUGUUAAGCAAAACUUUGAAUCAGCAUUUAAAUUAGAUAUGCUUUAACGGCUAAUGUUAUUUGAAAGCUGAAUAGCCAAUGUCAAAAAUAGAUUUCCCUUUCUUUCCAAAGUGCAGACGGGGUCCAGAAAGGGGCAAAAAUAACCACAUGCCUUUCUUGGACUCCUGACUCUUACCACCCAAAGGGUUUUCUUGUGUAGCAACCAACAAUUCCUUGGAUGGAAACACUGGAUAGGCUAGUCAUUAUUUUGAGAUUGAAGGGACUGCAGAUUCUUGGCAGACCUCUGUUGUUUUUCUAGAGUUGUAGGCAAGUAGUUGGACAAAAAGCAAGAAGCUGAUCGAUGUUGCUGGCUUUGGAUUCUUUGUGAACAAAUGAGACAAGGCUGCAAAUUCAGAGGAUCCUCCCAGAAGAUAAGAUGGAGCAGGUCACCACCUUCUUCCCUGCUUCACACCCUCAGGCCCCGACUCUUGUCUGCUGAGAUCACUCUCCAAACCAAUCUUCCCUUACAAAGCCCUUGUUGCAGGCUAUGCUUUCUGAGGGGAACCCAGGCCAAGACACUAAAAUGACACACCAACAUGAAGACAUGAACACAAUUGCAAAGGGAUUGGUUGGAUUGCAUAUCUCUGUGAAUGGGACUCAAGAGAAGUUUGGGAAAUGCUGGACCAGAUGACCCUUGCAAUCAUGGUGCACAGAAUUAAAACCGUCAAGUUCCCCAUCCAUCUCUGAGAUGGAUGAGAAUCUGAGUCUUCCACAAGAUGCCCAAGACUUGUUAAACCCGUGGAAUGUCUUUGGGUAUGUGUGACAUCAACAAGAAGCAGCAGACAAAACAAAAUAUUUUCACAAACAUUCAGAAAUCCCUAAAUCUUCCCCUUUUGUCUAAAAUAGUGAUGUACAUUAAAUGCAAAGGGCAAAUGGAACCAUUGAAAAGUACUUUUUGCAUCCAAAACAGCCAACGCUUUGGUGCCUGCUAUGUGUCAGACACUGAUUCUUCUGUCAUCCUUAUUCUACUGAUGAGGCAACUGAGGCAGCUUCAGAGAGUUCGAGUAACCUGCGGAUCACACAACUAGGAAGUAAGAGAGCUGGAACUUGACGUUGGGCUGUUGACCUCCAGAAAUGGUGUUUUUUCCAGUACUCAGUGCUGCCUCUGACUCCAUUGUGAUGGUUGAUUUUAUGUGUCAACUUGACUGGGCCCAGGGGUACCCAGAUAUUUGGUCAAACAUUAUUCUGGGUGUUUCUGUGAGGGCGUUUUGGGUGAGAUUAACAUUUAAAUUGGUAGACUGAGUAAAGCAGAUGGCCCUCUAUGAUAUGGCCAGGCCUCAUCCAAUCCAUUGAAAGCCUGAAUGGAACAAAAAGGCCAACCCUCCCUCAGUAGGAGGAAAUUUCGUCUGCUUGACUGCAUUCAAACUAGGACGUCAACUUUUUCCUGCCUUUGGACUUGAAUAGAAACAUCAGCUCUUCCUAGAUCUUCAACCUGCCAGGCUUCAGAUUGAAGUUUAUACCAUCAGCUCUCUUGGUUCUUGGGCCUUUGGACCCAGACUGUAAGUGCACCAUCCGUUCUCUUGGGUCUUGCUUGCUGACUCACCCUGCAGAUUUGGGGACUUAUCAGCCUCUAAUUCUGUGAGCCAAUUCCUUCUAAUAUAUCUCUCUAUACGCAUCCUGUCUCACUGGAAGAACCCUGAUACGGUUAGGCUUUGUGUCCUCAUUCAAAUCUCAUCUUGAAUUGUAAAUCCCAUAAUCCCCAUAAUCCCCAUGUGUCAGGGGAGGGAUCAGGUGGAGGUAAUUGCAUCAUGGGAGCAGUUUCCCCUGUGCUCUUCUCACGAUAGUGAAAGAGUUCUCACAAGAUCUGAUGGUUUUAUAAGGGGCUCUUCCCCCUUUGCUCUGCACUUCCCCUUCCUGCUGCCUUGUGGCCUUGUGAAGAAGGUGUCUUGCUUCCCCUUUGCCCUCCUCCAUGAUUGUAAGUUUCCUGAGGCCUCCCCAGUCAUGCAGAACUGUGAGUCAAUUAAACCUCUGUCCUUUAUAAAUUACCCAGUCUCAGGCGGUUCUUUAUACCAGUGUGAGAAUGGACUAAUACAAACCCUAAUACAUCAAUUUCUUUUUUGAUCUACCAGGCAAUCCUGUGAAGUAGAUGGGUCAGGUAAUAUCAUUGCUAUUUGACAGAUGAGGGAGAACAAGACCUAGCAAAUGAACACGCAUGUGUUACAUGCUCACAUAGUCACACACAUGCUCGCAUGCGUGCGCGUGCACACACACACACACACACAUAUACAUACAGACCACGCACUUCAGGACGAAGGUCAGAAUCCAGGUCUAAUCAUUUAAGUAAGUGCUUCUUCCCCAGGGUGU